rnacentral:rRNA from 1 species
GACGAACGCUGGCGGCGUGCCUAAUACAUGCAAGUAGAACGCUGAAGAGAGGAGCUUGCUCUUCUUGGAUGAGUUGCGAACGGGUGAGUAACGCGUAGGUAACCUGCCUGGUAGCGGGGGAUAACUAUUGGAAACGAUAGCUAAUACCGCAUAAAAUUGAUUAUUGCAUGAUAAUUAAUUGAAAGAUGCAACUGCAUCACUACCAGAUGGACCUGCGUUGUAUUAGCUAGUUGGUGAGGUAACGGCUCACCAAGGCGACGAUACAUAGCCGACCUGAGAGGGGGGUAGGCCGCCCUGGGAGGUGGACAGCGACCAGAGGCCCACGGGACGGCGCAGUCGGGAAUCGGAGGCAAUGGGGGGGAACCUUACAGAACAACGCCGCGUGAGUGAAGGAGGUGUCCGGAUCGGAAAGCUCGGUUGUAAGAGAAGAACCGGUGUGGGAGUUGAAAGUGCACUGUGUGACGGUAGCGUAUCAGAAAGGGACGGCUAACUACGUG